rfam:Prevotella timonensis CRIS 5C-B1 contig00008, whole genome shotgun sequence.
UUGUUUUUUACGAAAGAAGCGGAGUAAAGCUUGCCGUGAGAAGUCAGCAGAGGUCAUAGUACCCAAGGUACGUGUGCCUAAAGGAAAGGAC